rnacentral:rRNA from 2 species
UGGCUCAGAGUGAACGCUGGCGGUAGGCCUAACACAUGCAAGUCGAACGGCAGCACAGAGGAGCUUGCUCCUUGGGUGGCGAGUGGCGGACGGGUGAGGAAUACAUCGGAAUCUACUCUGUCGUGGGGGAUAACGUAGGGAAACUUACGCUAAUACCGCAUACGACCUACGGGUGAAAGCAGGGGAUCUUCGGACCUUGCGCGAUUGAAUGAGCCGAUGUCGGAUUAGCUAGUUGGCGGGGUAAAGGCCCACCAAGGCGACGAUCCGUAGCUGGUCUGAGAGGAUGAUCAGCCACACUGGAACUGAGACACGGUCCAGACUCCUACGGGAGGCAGCAGUGGGGAAUAUUGGACAAUGGGCGCAAGCCUGAUCCAGCCAUACCGCGUGGGUGAAGAAGGCCUUCGGGUUGUAAAGCCCUUUUGUUGGGAAAGAAAUCCAGCUGGCUAAUACCCGGUUGGGAUGACGGUACCCAAAGAAUAAGCACCGGCUAACUUCGUGCCAGCAGCCGCGGUAAUACGAAGGGUGCAAGCGUUACUCGGAAUUACUGGGCGUAAAGCGUGCGUAGGUGGUCGUUUAAGUCCGUUGUGAAAGCCCUGGGCUCAACCUGGGAACUGCAGUGGAUACUGGGCGACUAGAGUGUGGUAGAGGGUAGCGGAAUUCCUGGUGUAGCAGUGAAAUGCGUAGAGAUCAGGAGGAACAUCCAUGGCGAAGGCAGCUA